GGACCCCUAGAGUCGGGGCCUUUGGGGCUGGCUGGGUUGAGAAUCCUGCGGUCCGGUGUUGGUGGCGGUGACUUGUUGCCACCCUGCAGCCGCACACCCUCGAGCCAUGUCCUGGGCUGCUCUGCUCGGCCUCCUGGCCGUGCUAUUGCUGUUGCUGCUGCUGCUGAGCCGCCGGCGCGCGCGGUGAGUAUUCCCCGUGACCCGUCAGGGUGCGGAAAGGACGCCAGGUGAAAUUCAGGGUCGGCGGCGUGGGACCCGGACAGUGUUGGUACUACCCACUCUGUAGCCUGCACGGUGUCCCACGCCCUGGACUCCUAGACUUUCUGUGGCUCCAUCCCGGGUGGGAACGCUGAGGCUGGGGACUGGCCGCGAUGCCUGGCCACGGUCACACUGAUCGAGGAAUUCCCACUCAUGGAUGAGGGUCUAAUAUGGGAUCCAGGACAUACCUGCCAGCGUAGAAAUUUGGGUAGAGUCGAAACAGAUCCUUGGUCCUUUAAAAGUGUAGUGCUUUGUGGCAACUCUGCCAUUUAGGAGAAAAACCAAAAACUUCUCUUCAUCCCAGGGAGUCCGUCUGGCAGUAGGUCUUUGUGUAAGGCAUUUAAAAAUUAGUUUGAAUAGCACAGAAUCAGAAUACAUUUGAUUUAAACCAAGCAAGUCCCUUCCCACCCUGACUCUCCUUCUCCCUUCCCCAGGCCUUUCCUGUUGCUCGAUUUGGGCAGAACUUUCCAGAUUUAAAAAACAAACAAACAAACAAACAAACAAAACAAACAAAAACUAGUCUUCCCCCUCCAGACACAUAUUCACUACUGCAGACUAGUUUGAGAGUUUCAGAGAAGUGGCAAAUGUUAUCGCCUUCCCUCCUGCUACCCCUCCGGAGGCUUGCAUCCUAUAUUCUUUUAGGGUGUUUGUCCCAUUUAGAAGCCAGCCCUGGUCCCUGCCUAGUAGCUGAAUUUCAGACUCUGGAAUGUCCAUCAGUCUCCGCAGUCAGCUUCCAGGGCCUGGGCUUGUCCAACCCCACAUCCCCAGAUGUUUCGAGAGUUGCUCUCCUCCUUGGACUCCAGCUCGGAUGAUGGGGGCAGCUCUGCUGCGUGUUUACAUUAGAGCGCCUGAAAAGCCCAGAAACCCCCGAGACUUGAGUUUUUAAACAAUGUGUGAGCUGAGCUCACCCCAGGCUCGCUUCCAGGUGAAAGUUAAAACCAUAUAUUCGCUUAUCGGCCCCAAAAGGAGGGAACGAAAAUUCAAGAGCCGUUCCUGUUAGGAAUAGCUGGGUGUCUUUAGCUGUGGGCUCUCUCCGCACCAGAUCUGUGUUUUCGGCUUCCAGCAUUUCCUUUCUCACACCAGAUGUUAGAGGUGACAUCUGUUUCCACUUCUGGGCAGGUGUUCGUGGGCUUUAUCUUUAUCCAUUCUGCCCGUGUUUUUGCCCGUGGGCUUUCUGGUUGUUGUGAGAGCAUUCUUUUUAAAACGCGUUCUAUAUAUUUGUUUUAGUGUGUGUAUGGAUGUGUGUGCACCGUGGUACCCAUGUGCACGUGGUACCCAUGUCAGAGGAUGACUUACAGGUGUCAGUUCUCACCAUGUGGGUCCUGAGGAUCCAAUUCAGGUCAUCAGGUUGGUGGCAGACACCUUUACCCGCGGAGCCAUCUUGCCGGCCCUACUUGAAUAGUUUUUUGUGUUCCACACAUGGUGCUUUUUGUUGUCUGCUGGGGUCUGUAGCCUGUGCGACACCCUGGGGCAGGUACAGCAGCAAGGAAGAGGAUGGACCGUGUGAGGCAGGGCCUCUGGCUGUUCUCUCAGCAGGGACGGUCCCUCCCUGCCUGUGGGGCAAGUUAGUGUCCUCUGUCCCAGUUCUCAGCGUCUAAAGAGAUGAGAUGAUGGUGAUGACAAUGGUGAUGAUGAUGGUAGUGGUGAUGAUGAUGGCAGUGAAGGGUGAACACCUCCCAGCAGCAAGGUUUGGGCUGAUUCUUGUUGGCUGACAAUCUGAGAGUUCUUUUAUCUUGGUAUGAAACUGUUUUUUAUACCUCUGGGUGUUAGAAAAGAAGAGCCUACUGUUGCACAAAGAAACACAGAGACAAAGCAGGGAAGAAAAAAACAAAAAACCAAAAACCUAGUCGGGUAAUUUCUUUUCGGAAAAGGCUGCACGGUGACCUGAGCCUGGCUGGCAGUAGCUUGAUUAGCACCUGACCAUCCGUCUUGUCUCUAAUCUUCUGUACUUUUCCAAGACACAGCCCUGGCCUGCUGUAAAUUCACAUGAACCUCCCAGGUCUGGCCAUGUCAGUCAUUUCCCAGUGAUGUUUGGUUAAUUCUCGGAGCAUGGCUGGGAAAUCUCUAAGACCCCUCUAAAAACCAGUAAAAACAUCAUAUAAAACAACAUGUCAGACUUUCAAAAACUCCUCCGAAGCGGACUAUGGUUAUUUCUUAGUUUGAUAUGAAAGCACGUUGACUUCCCUGGCAACAGAGUCCGUGUGUUGGCAUCUCCUUUGGAACUCCCAUUUCCAUGACCGAAUUAGGUGAAGAACCAAAACCAGACAGGGGUUUGGACGUGGGACUGAAUGCCUGUGUUGUAGAACUUCUAGGGGUGCAGUGAUCCUCUGACGUCUCCGUGGUAAGGGGACCUGCCAUCUUAGUUAUGCCAUGUGGUUGGUCCAUAGCCUUCAUCAUCUUGAUGAUGUCACUCGUCAAGAUGGUGACCAAGUCACACUCUUGCCUCCAUCCUGAUAGGUCACUGGGCAAGAUGGCAACAAACCUCCUGGUUACGUUUUGACUGCUCUGAGCUCAGUUCUGUGAUGAAAUGGGCCCAUCCCCAUCAGGACACACAUCGAGGGAUCCAUGCUUUCCACUGUCAGGCUCAGGGUGGACUGUCAGUCAGGCUCAGGGUGGACUGUCAAGCUCAGGUCUAGGCUACCAAACUGAAGAAACAAGAAAUUCCUUGGUCCCAACCCAAGGCAGGGAGUCCCUGUGUCUUACCAUAGACUCUAAGUGAGAGUCAAACAAUGCCACCCGGAUGUCAUUUUGAAGUCCCCCAGGGCUCCUAUACACGGUCUGUUUCUGGGCUGGGGGUCCAGUGAAGGAAGUGGAAAUAACUGGGAGGUGCGCCCAGUGCCUUUAGGGGGCGCUAUUUCUCUGGAAGCACACGGAGAAACUGGGUGGGGAAGUGUGAGCUUGGUGUUACCUGGGCAUGGCGUGGCCUGAGUCUGCUCUGUGACCCUCUUCGGACUGGCAGGGAUUGUUUCCCCCCUUCAUGAACAUUUGUAUAUCAUAUGUGUGCCUGCCGCCUUAGACAGCAGAAGAAAGCAUCCGCUUAUAGGUGGUUAUCAUAUGGCUGUUAGGAACUGAACCUGAGGCCUUUUAACCACCAAGCCAUUUCUCUAGCCAGUACUGGCAGGAAUUUAAGCCCCUGAGAAACCAGCUUGUUAAAAUAGUUAAUCCUGAUUUAAAACCUUAGUAGCUUCUACGGUGAUAGUUUUUCUCAGUCACAGAAGCAGCUGCCUGGGACCAUGUGGUUCAAGAUGGUAUUGGGCCUAACCAUGUCUCUUCUUCCUUCCGCCAAGCCAGAUCCAAAGUCUCCCAGGUUCUCUGAGCGAAUGGGUUGGAAAGGGCCAGAAGGAAGAAUCCCACACCCAGAGAAGGGUGAUUGGACGUUAGAUUUUGGAGGUCUCUCGAAUUGUUCAGGAGGGGCAUUUUGAACAGGACGGAAAAUCUGGGAAAAAAAUCUAUGUCCCUUUUCUCUUUUUUUGGCCUGAUUAUUUUACAUUCCAAACCUUAAAGCUCACGGCCCCAUUCUAAGGAGGGUUCUGUGUCUAAAUACAGAGUCCACUCACUGUAAUAUUUUCCUGGGCCCUUCACUGAAUUGCUGAGAAAAUUUCCAUUCUGGGAUCGUUACUGAUUUGAGAGAGUCUCGUCUGCCCAAGACCCCGUGGGCUGCGGCAAUAGGCCACGGGAGAUGUCUCCAUUAAGGGAAAGGCUCCAAACACUCUCCAAGGUGGCUUUGAAAUGUGGGGUAGACCUCAAAGUUGUCAGAUGAACAUAAUCUUGAUGUCGCACAAACACACCAACAACAUGAAAGUAAGUAGGCAAGGGUUUGGUUUGUGUAAAAUGUGUGCACCAGGACCCAAACCAGGCUGGCAAGUGCAAAGGAUAUGAAGGACAUGUGUGAUGGAUGCGGUCAGCUGUGGGUCGGAUGUGGUCAGCUGUGGGUCAUCAAGUCCUGGGAAUGAUGCAGCCUCACCGGUGGGGGAGGCAAGAUUUUCAUAAAGGUUUUACAGGGUGGGGGGAAUUUAUGAAAUAUUGGGCCUUGGUGGGCUAGCCACCUUUUUUUUUCUCCCUUCCUAAGACAAGGUUUCUCUGUGUAACCCUAGCUGUCCUUUAGACAAGAUUGCCCUCGAACUUACAGAGAUCCACCCGCCUCUGCCUCCCCAAGUGCUGGGAUUAAAGGCGUGUGCCUCCACCGCCACCACCUGUGCACUAGCUAACGUUUUAUAGAAACCAAAACCAAAAACGUUUCUCAAACGGGCACCUGGGAAGGUGGAUGAGAAGACUGGGGCACUCUGGUUAUUCCCAUUUAAUU
rnacentral:lncRNA from 1 species